CCCUUAGAUGUUCUGGGCCGCACGCGCGCUACACUGACUGGUGCAACAAGUGUCUGACCUUGGCUCGAGAGGCCUGGGUAAUCUUUGAACGCUGUUCGUGAUUGGGAUAGACCUUUGCAAUUAUGGGUCUUCAACGAGGAAUUCCUAGUAAACGCAAGUCAUCAGCUUGCAUUGAUUACGUCCCUGCCCUUUGUACACACCGCCCGUCGCACCUACCGAUUGAAUGGUCCGGUGAAAUCUCGGGACGGCGGCUUGGUCGCUUGCGUCCGACUGCUGAAACUUGAUUAAACCAUAUCAUUUAGAGGAAGGUGAAGUCGUAACA
rnacentral:rRNA from 1 species